rnacentral:rRNA from 1 species
UACAGAGGUCCCAAGCGUUGUUCGGAUUCAUUGGGCGUAAAGGGUGCGUAGGCGGCGCGGUGAGUCGGGUGUGAAAUCUCGGAGCUUAACUCCGAAACUGCAUUCGAUACUGCCGUGCUUGAGGACUGGAGAGGAGACUGGAAUUUACGGUGUAGCGGUGAAAUGCGUAGAUAUCGUAAGGAAGACCAGUGGCGAAGGCGGGUCUCUGGACAGUUCCUGACGCUGAGGCACGAAGGCCAGGGAGCAAACGGG